AGCAGUUUCAGAGAAACUGCUAUGUUUAUUAAUGGGUUAAGCCUUCCCCCUAAUCCUCUAGUGGCUGUCUCGUUGACAGCCACUAGAGGCGCUUGCGUGCUUCUCACUGUGAUUUUCACAGUGAGAGCACGCAAGCGUCCAUAGAAAAGCAUUGUAAAUGCUUUCCUAUGCGACGGGCUGAAUGCGCGCGCAGCUCUUGCCGCGCGUG